GUCGACGAUGAUGCCCAGCUUGCUGGGCGGAUUAGUGGCGAACGGGUGAGUAAUACGUGAGUAACCUGCCCUUGACUCUGGGAUAAGCCUGGGAAACUGGGUCUAAUACUGGAUACUACCUCUUGCCGCAUGGUGGGUGGUGGAAAGGGUUUUACUGGUUUUGGAUGGGCUCACGGCCUAUCAGCUUGUUGGUGGGGUAAUGGCUCACCAAGGCGACGACGGGUAGCCGGCCUGAGAGGGUGACCGGCCACACUGGGACUGAGACACGGCCCAGACUCCUACGGGAGGCAGCAGUGGGGAAUAUUGCACAAUGGGCGGAAGCCUGAUGCAGCGACGCCGCGUGAGGGAUGACGGCCUUCGGGUUGUAAACCUCUUUCAGUAGGGAAGAAGCGAGAGUGACGGUACCUGCAGAAGAAGCGCCGGCUAACUACGUGCCAGCAGCCGCGGUAAUACGUAGGGCGCAAGCGUUGUCCGGAAUUAUUGGGCGUAAAGAGCUCGUAGGCGGUUUGUCGCGUCUGCUGUGAAAGCCCGGGGCUCAACCCCGGGUCUGCAGUGGGUACGGGCAGACUAGAGUGCAGUAGGGGAGACUGGAAUUCCUGGUGUAGCGGUGAAAUGCGCAGAUAUCAGGAGGAAC
rnacentral:rRNA from 1 species